rnacentral:rRNA from 1 species
AGGACGAACGCUGGCGGCGUGCUUAACACAUGCAAGUCGAACGGAAAGGCCCGCUUGCGGGUACUCGAGUGGCGAACGGGUGAGUAACACGUGGGCAACCUGCCCUCAGCUUCGGGAUAACACUUGGAAACAGGUGCUAAUACCGGAUAAUAACCUUUCAUCGCAUGGUGGUUGGUUCAAAGUUUUUCGGCUGAGGAUGGGCCCGCGGCCUAUCAGCUUGUUGGUGGGGUAAUGGCCUACCAAGGCGACGACGGGUAGCCGGCCUGAGAGGGCGACCGGCCACACUGGGACUGAGACACGGCCCAGACUCCUACGGGAGGCAGCAGUGGGGAAUAUUGCGCAAUGGGCGGAAGCCUGACGCAGCGACGCCGCGUGAGGGAUGGACGGCCUUCGGGUUGUAAACCUCUUUCAGCUCUGACGAAGCGUAAGUGACGGUAGGAGCAGAAGAAGCACCGGCCAACUACGUGCCAGCAGCCGCGGUAA